rnacentral:rRNA from 1 species
AUGCACGCUGGCGGCGUGCCUCAUACAUGCAAGUCGCGCGAACAGACGAGGAGCUUGCUCCUCUGACGUUAGCGGCGGACGGGUGAGUAACACGUGGAUAACCUACCUAUAAGACUGGGAUAACUUCGGGAAACCGGAGCUAAUACCGGAUAACAUGUUGAACCGCAUGGUUCAACAGUGAAAGACGGUCUUGCUGUCACUUAUAGAUGGAUCCGCGCCGCAUUAGCUAGUUGGUAAGGUAACGGCUUACCAAGGCAACGAUGCGUAGCCGACCUGAGAGGGUGAUCGGCCACACUGGAACUGAGACACGGUCCAGACUCCUACGGGAGGCAGCAGUAGGGAAUCUUCCGCAAUGGGCGAAAGCCUGACGGAGCAACGCCGCGUGAGUGAAGAAGGUCUUCGGAUCGUAAAACUCUGUUAUUAGGGAAGAACAAAUGUGUAAGUAACUAUGCACGUCUUGACGGUACCUAAUCAGAAAGCCACGGCUAACUACGUG